GAUGAACGCUGGCGGCGUGCCUAAUACAUGCAAGUCGAGCGAACGGACGAGAAGCUUGCUUCUCUGAUGUUAGCGGCGGACGGGUGAGUAACACGUGGAUAACCUACCUAUGAGACUGGGAUAACUUCGGGAAACCGGAGCUAAUACCGGAUAAUAUUUUGAACCGCAUGGUUCAAAAGUGAAAGACGGUCUUGCUGUCACUUAUAGAUGGAUCCGCGCUGCAUUAGCUAGUUGGUAAGGUAACGGCUUACCAAGGCAACAAUGCAUAGCCGACCUGAGAGGGUGAUCGGCCACACUGGAACUGAGACACGGUCCAGACUCCUACGGGAGGCAGCAGUAGGGAAUCUUCCGCAAUGGGCGAAAGCCUGACGGAGCAACGCCGCGUGAGUGAUGAAGGUCUUCGGAUCGUAAAACUCUGUUAUUAGGGAAGAACAUAUGUGUAAGUAACUGUGCACAUCUUGACGGUACCUAAUCAGAAAGCCACGGCUAACUACGUG
rnacentral:rRNA from 1 species